rnacentral:piRNA from 1 species
UGUACUAUCCAACAUGGCGGGCAUGCACAUC